GACGAACGCUGGCGGCGUGCCUAAUACAUGCAAGUCGAGCGGAUUUAUCCUUCGGGAUAAGUUAGCGGCGGACGGGUGAGUAACACGUAGGUAACCUGCCUAUAAGACUGGGAUAACUAUCGGAAACGAUAGCUAAGACCGGAUAACUGGUUUUCUCGCAUGAGAGAAUUAUGAAACACGGAGCAAUCUGUGGCUUAUAGAUGGGCCUGCGGCGCAUUAGCUAGUUGGUAGGGUAACGGCCUACCAAGGCGACGAUGCGUAGCCGACCUGAGAGGGUGAACGGCCACACUGGGACUGAGACACGGCCCAGACUCCUACGGGAGGCAGCAGUAGGGAAUCUUCCGCAAUGGACGCAAGUCUGACGGAGCAACGCCGCGUGAGUGAUGAAGGUUUUCGGAUCGUAAAGCUCUGUUGCCCUAGACGAACAGCAAGAGGAGUAACUGCCUUUUGUGUGACGGUAUGGGAGAAGAAAGCCCCGGCUAACUACGUGCCAGCAGCCGCGGUAAUACGUAGGGGGCAAGCGUUGUCCGGAAUUAUUGGGCGUAAAGCGCGCGCAGGCGGUCAAUUAAGUUGGGUGUUUAAGCCCGGGGCUCAACCCCC
rnacentral:rRNA from 1 species